rnacentral:tRNA from 1 species
GGCCCGGUGGCGGAAGUGUACACGCGGGGGUGAUGCAACGCUCCUCAUCCUGGUUCGAGUCCAGGCUGGGCCUCCA